rnacentral:rRNA from 1 species
UGAGGAAUUUUGCGCAAUGGGGGAAACCCUGACGCAGCGACGCCGCGUGGAGGAUGAAGGCCUUCGGGUCGUAAACUCCUGUCAGAGGUGAAGAAUGCCCGCAAGGGUUUGACGGUAACCUCAGAGGAAGCCCCGGCUAACUACGUGCCAGCAGCCGCGGUAAUACGUAGGGGGCAAACGUUACUCGGAAUUACUGGGCGUAAAGGGUGCGUAGGCGGCUGGGAAAGUCAAGGAUGAAAUCCCGUGGCUCAACUGCGGAACGGUCCU